rnacentral:rRNA from 1 species
GUAACCUGCCCUUAAGUGGGGGAUAACAUUUGGAAACAGAUGCUAAUACCGCAUAAAUCCAAGAACCGCAUGGUUCUUGGCUGAAAGAUGGCGUAAGCUAUCGCUUUUGGAUGGACCCGCGGCGUAUUAGCUAGUUGGUGAGGUAACGGCUCACCAAGGCAAUGAUACGUAGCCGAACUGAGAGGUUGAUCGGCCACAUUGGGACUGAGACACGGCCCAAACUCCUACGGGAGGCAGCAGUAGGGAAUCUUCCACAAUGGACGCAAGUCUGAUGGAGCAACGCCGCGUGAGUGAAGAAGGCUUUCGGGUCGUAAAACUCUGUUGUUGGAGAAGAAUGGUCGGCAGAGUAACUGUUGUCGGCGUGACGGUAUCCAACCAGAAAGCCACGGCUAACUACGUGCCAGCAGCCGCGGUAAUACGUAGGUGGCAAGCGUUAUCCGGAUUUAUUGGGCGUAAAGCGAGCGCAGGCGGUUUUUUAAGUCUGAUGUGAAAGCCCUCGGCUUAAC